rnacentral:rRNA from 1 species
CCUACGGGAGGCUGCAGUGGGGAAUAUUGGACAAUGGGGGGAACCCUGAUCCAGCCAUGCCGCGUGUGUGAAGAAGGCCCUCGGGUUGUAAAGCACUUUCAGUGAGGAAGAACGCCUGGUGGUUAAUACCCAUCAGGAAAGACAUCACUCACAGAAGAAGCACCGGCUAACUCCGUGCCAGCAGCCGCGGUAAUACGGAGGGUGCGAGCGUUAAUCGGAAUUACUGGGCGUAAAGCGCGCGUAGGUGGCUUGAUAAGCCGGUUGUGAAAGCCCCGGGCUCAACCUGGGAACGACAUCCGGAACUGUCAAGCUAGAGUGCAGGAGAGGAAGGUAGAAUUCCCGGUGUAGCGGUGAAAUGCGUAGAGAUCGGGAGGAAUACCAGUGGCGAAGGCGGCCUUCUGGACUGACACUGACACUGAGGUGCGAAAGCGUGGGUAGCAAACAGGAUUAGAUACCCGUGUAGUC